AUACGAAAGGUGCAAGCGUUGUUCGGAUUUACUGGGCGUAAAGAGAGUGUAGGUUGUUUAUUAAGUCGGAUGUGAAAUCCCGGGGCUCAACCUCGGAACUGCAUUCGAUACUGAUAGGCUAGAGUUUGGGAGGGGUAAGCGGAAUUCCGUGUGUAGCAGUGAAAUGCGUAGAUAUACGGAGGAACACCUGAGGCGAAGGCGGCUUACUGGACCAAUACUGACACUGAGACUCGAAAGCGUGGGUAGCAAACAGGAGUAGAAACCCGGGUAGUCC
rnacentral:rRNA from 1 species